rnacentral:lncRNA from 1 species
UGGAAGGAAAUGUGUUGUCGGCUGUUUAGGAGCAAAAACUGACCGAGAGGGAAAUUACAGUAUUGGAAAAUGGUUCUGGCAGUGUUCACAGUUAAUGUGUGCAUGGGGUGGGUGCCCUGGACGCUUAGCUGCUUUUUUACAGAUGAAAAAACUGAAGUAGUAACUCAGUGACUGCCAAGAUCUGCAUAUUGACUAAGAUAGGGCUUCUGAGACUCUCAUUUCUAAUGUAGUAACUCCUAGUCAACCUCCUCCCCUCCCGCCCUAACCACAUGUACUACCAGAAAAAUAAAGCCAUUUAUUGGCUUAAAAAAAUCAUUAAAUAUGAAAAUUCCCAUGAGAAAUUUAAUAAAUAAAAUGAUUCACUCUACUUUUGUACUGAAUUUUAUCAUCCAUUAAAUCAGCAGAGAAUGUAGUGUCUUUGCUAAGUCUUCAGUGCUCAGUCUUGUUUUCCCAGGAACAUGAACUCCUCUGUCCUUCACAAUUCCCCAGAGCUCCCACAGAAAGCUCCAUGACUCAAUUCAAUUCCUGCUGCAUUUCUGCACAUAGCCGCCCACUGCAGGCACUGCUGAAACUCCAAGAUAUGCAGAGGAAGGAAUGGCUAAGAAAAACCGACCCUGAUGGAAAUGCAUUCCAAUGAGUAGAAUCGAUUCACAUUGGAUCACUGGACUUUGGGUUGGGAUGUCCAAAAGAAGGACUGAUUUCAAAGUAAAAUAAAUGUUCCAGGACUAGGUCACAAAGAAAAACUUCUCAGCCUUGGAGAAGACAAGGCAUGGGCCACAUCCCAGCCUCUGAGAGAAAUGUCUCAUUUCCUUUGCCUGUAAGUCUGUGUGCCAUCUCUCGCCCUCUGCCCUUGCAUUAUCUGUGUGUGUAUUUUCUUCACCCUUCUACCCUGCUAGCUCCCUGAAUGGAGAUCACAUUGUUGCCUUUGCAUUCCCCACAAUUUUAGUCCAGUGCCUGCCAUUAACCAGGUCUUCCCUGCUUAUUAAUUGACUGACAGACUUUGUGUUGAAAACACACUGAAAAAGCAUUUCAAAUAUAGUUGACUUUCUCUGACGGGAGUUUUGCUAACUGGGAAGGUGAUGUAGGGUAACUUCUCAGCAGGGUGUAAAUUUUGAGUGCUAGGGAAAGAGCAGCAUGAUUGGAAGAGAGGCACAUUUCACUAGGAUACACUCUGUUAUCUUUGUUUUACAUUUAAAUGAAACAUUUGGGUCUACAUGAAAUUUGGAUGACACAUUAAGGGUAAUUUCCCCAGCGUGAUUCGGAUUGCUGAUUAGAGAAUCAAGGCCUCCUGGAGUAUUCUGUUUGUGUUACUGAUUGGUUAAGGGUUGUUUCCCAACUGUGGGGUGAGUUCCAUUUUCCCUUGGAGAACUGAAGAGCAGUGCCCAUCAGUCACAGCCAAAUGCUGGGAUUAUAGGUGUGAGCCACCGCACCCGGCCCAAAACAAUUCUUAAGACUGACAAAGCAGAUUCUAGAAAUAAGACACCAAAUUCUAGCCUGACUCUAGUAUAGUAUGACAGAUAGCAGGCCCUGAAAUAAAUGGAAGUAUUUUACCCCAAAUUAUAUUUCUUCGACAUAUUUUGAAACAGCCUUGCAAAGCUGUUUUUUGUGAGAAAAAUCUGCCUUCUGUAGAGAAUCCUUGUUCCUUUUCAGGCCUUUUUCCUAAUUCAGGAGAGAAUGAAUUCUGAGAAUAAACAUUUACAAUCUAUUCUCUCUAAAGCCUGGUACCUGGACACUGCUUCUGUAUAAUGGAAACCCUGGUCUCCACAACCCCUUAUCUUAACCCAGACCUCCCCUUUUAUUUAUUCUAAUUCUUUAGACAAUAACUUAAUGCUUUCAACCAAUUGCCAGUCAGAAAAAUCUCUGACUCUACCUAUGACUUGGAAGCCCCUGCUUCGAGUUGUCCUGUGUUUAUGGAUGGAACCAAUAUAUAUCUUACAUAUAUUGAUUAAAGUCUUAUGUCUCCUUAAAAUGUGUAAAACCAAGCUGUAACCCAGUCACUUUGGGCACAUGUUCUCAGGAUCUCCUGAGGGCUGUGCCAUGGGCCAUUGGUCACUUAUAUGUGGCUCAGAAUGAAUCUCUUCAACUAUUUUAUGGAGUUUCACUCUUUUCAUCAACAUCCAAAAGAAAAUACAUUGUUCUAUAAAAAAGAUACAAGCAUGCAUAUGUUAAUCGCAGCACUAUUCACAAUAACAAAGACAUGGAAUCAACCUAGGGGCCCAUCAACUGGACUGGAUAAAGAAAAUGUGGUACAUGUAUACCGUCGAAUACUAUGCAGCCACAAAAAGAACAAAAUUAUAUUCUUUUGUUGCAGCUAGAGGCCAUUAUCCUAAACAAAGUAACACAGAAACAGAAAACCAAAUACUACAUGUUCUAUAAGUGGGAGCUAAACAUUAAGUACUCAUGGGCAUAAAGGUGGCAGCAGUAGACACUAGGGACUAUUAGAGGGGAUAGAGAGGGAGGGGGCUAGGGGGAAGGCUUGAGAAACUAUUGGAUAAUAUGCUUACUACCUGGCUUCUGGGAUCAAUAGCACCCCAAAAGCCUUAUCAUUAUGCAACAAAUCUGCACGUGUACCCUCUGAAUCUAAAAUAAUGUAUCUAUAUCUAUAUCUAAUAUAUGUAAUAUAUCUAUCUUAAACUUUUAAAACUUGGCAAAAUAUUUCAAAAUUUUGUCUGUGCUCCUAUCGAGCAAAUAUCUGGGAAGUAUCAGGGAAAGGGAAGGAAUGGUAGGGAUGGUCUAACGCACACAGCGUAUUAUACAGCUGCAAUAAUUAAAUCAACAAGGGGCAAGUGCAAGCCUAGUCACGUAGACGGAGCAGACAGCUCAGAAACAGAUCACAGAAUUUGUGUUAGGAAAAAGGAGGCAUCACACAUUAAAAGGGGAGAAACCUUACUCAAUAAAUGGUGCUGGGAUAAAUGGUAAAUUAUUGGGGGAAAAUAUUUAGAUCCUUACCUUAUGCUCUGCACCAAAAUAAGUUCUACAUAAAUGAAUUUAAUUCAACUUAUGGAAAACCUUGCUUCCUCAUUCACUGAGAAAACUGAAGGAAUUUUCAAACACCCACCACCUUCUCUACUUACUAAACAGCAUUUAUGCCCCUAUAUUCUGCCUUCCUUUUUAUUAUUUUAGACAAACUGUUUUGCUCCUAUCUAAGGCCUCAAGCACCUCUGCCCAGUAGAAACAGAACGUGAGUCACAAAUGAAGCCUUAAAUUUUCUAGUACCCAGCAGUGGUUCACACCUGUAAUCUUAGCGCUUUGGGAGGCCACGGUGGGCAGACUGCUUGAGCCAGGAGUUCAAGGCCAACAUGGGCAACAUGGUGAAACUCCUUGUCUCUACAAAAAAUAUAUAUAUAUAUAUUAGCCAAGCAUAGAAGUGCCUGCCUGUACUCCCAACUACUAUGGAGGCUGAGGUGGGAGGAUCAGGUGGGAGGAAAGCUUGAUCCCAGGAGGCAGAGGUUGCAGUGAACAGAGAUAGUGCCACUGUACCAUAGCCUGGGCGGCAAAGUGAGACUCUGCCUCAAAAAAAAAAAAAAAAA